GUUUCAAUAAUGGAGAGAUUUGGAACUGAUUUCAUGGUACAAAAAGUUUGUAAACGAAAGAAAAGUGAGAAGGUAGUUUAGCCGUGAAACUCUUCAUAAACUUUGGUUGUUUUAAUGACUACCUUACCGUGAGAGUUUUUGUACGAAACUUAGUAGAAAUGUUGUUCACACAUGGAAGAUUUAGUGUACCAAGUUUGAUGUAUUUCUAAUGCCAACUUGAUGACCAAAUGAUAUUUCGAAUCUAGUUUUAAACCUGGAAAAUA
rnacentral:lncRNA from 1 species